AACGAACGCUGGCGGCAUGCUUAACACAUGCAAGUCGAACGAGACCUUCGGGUCUAGUGGCGCACGGGUGCGUAACGCGUGGGAAUCUGCCCUUUGCUACGGAAUAACUCAGAGAAAUUUGUGCUAAUACCGUAUGAUGUCGUAAGACCAAAGAUUUAUCGGCAAAGGAUGAGCCCGCGUAGGAUUAGCUUGUUGGUGUGGUAAAGGCGCACCAAGGCGACGAUCCUUAGCUGGUCUGAGAGGAUGAUCAGCCACACUGGGACUGAGACACGGGCCAGACUCCUACGGGGGGCAGCAGUGGGGAAUAUUGGACAAUGGGAGAAAGCCUGAGCCAGCAAUGCCGCGUGAGUGAUGAAGGCCUUAGGGUUGUAAAGCUCUUUUACCAGGGAUGAUAAUGACAGUACCUGGAGAAUAAGCUCCGGCUAACUCCGUGCCAGCCGCCGCAGUAACAC
rnacentral:rRNA from 1 species